AAAAUAUCUAAGGGGGAGGGAGAGAGAGAACCGUGAAAGAGAGAUAGAAAGGGAAAGAGGAUCAUCCAUGGAAGCUUGGAAAAUUGAAGAGAUUAAAGGGGAAAAACAAGGAAUUAAGUUAAGGUCGAAACGAGGACACCGUCUCAUUGCUACCGGGAGCCGAUCACUUGGUACACAAACAAUUAUGACGAUUGGAAAUCAGUGUGAACUUAUAUGAACAUUGAAAGAUUUGCGCACAUCGG